CUUGCUGUCACUUAUAGAUGGAUCCGCGCUGCAUUAGCUAGUUGGUAAGGUAACGGCUUACCAAGGCAACGAUGCAUAGCCGACCUGAGAGGGUGAUCGGCCACACUGGAACUGAGACACGGUCCAGACUCCUACGGGAGGCAGCAGUAGGGAAUCUUCCGCAAUGGGCGAAAGCCUGACGGAGCAACGCCGCGUGAGUGAUGAAGGUCUUCGGAUCGUAAAACUCUGUUAUUAGGGAAGAACAUAUGUGUAAGUAACUGUGCACAUCUUGACGGUACCUAAUCAGAAAGCCACGGCUAACUACGUGCCAGCAGCCGCGGUAAUACGUAGGUGGCAAGCGUUAUCCGGAAUUAUUGGGCGUAAAGCGCGCGUAGGCGGUUUUUUAAGUCUGAUGUGAAAGCCCACGGCUCAACCGUGGAGGGUCAUUGGAAACUGGAAAACUUGAGUGCAGAAGAGGAAAGUGGAAUUCCAUGUGUAGCGGUGAAAUGCGCAGAGAUAUGGAGGAACACCAGUGGCGAAGGCGACUUUCUGGUCUGUAACUGACGCUGAUGUGCGAAAGCGUGGGGAUCAAACAGGAUUAGAUACCCUGGUAGUCCACGCCGUAAACGAUGAGUGCUAAGUGUUAGGGGGUUUCCGCCCCUUAGUGCUGCAGCUAACGCAUUAAGCACUCCGCCUGGGGAGUACGACCGCAAGGUUGAAACUCAAAGGAAUUGACGGGGACCCGCACAAGCGGUGGAGCAUGUGGUUUAAUUCGAAGCAACGCGAAGAACCUUACCAAAUCUUGACAUCCUUUGACAACUCUAGAGAUAGAGCCUUCCCCUUCGGGGGACAAAGUGACAGGUGGUGCAUGGUUGUCGUCAGCUCGUGUCGUGAGAUGUUGGGUUAAGUCCCGCAACGAGCGCAACCCUUAAGCUUAGUUGCCAUCAUUAAGUUGGGCACUCUAAGUUGACUGCCGGUGACAAACCGGAGGAAGGUGGGGAUGACGUCAAAUCAUCAUGCCCCUUAUGAUUUGGGCUACACACGUGCUACAAUGGACAAUACAAAGGGCAGCGAAACCGCGAGGUCAAGCAAAUCCCAUAAAGUUGUUCUCAGUUCGGAUUGUAGUCUGCAACUCGACUACAUGAAGCUGGAAUCGCUAGUAAUCGUAGAUCAGCAUGCUACGGUGAAUACGUUCCCGGGUCUUGUACACACCGCCCGUCACACCACGAGAGUUUGUAACACCCGAAGCCGGUGGAGUAACCUUUUAGGAGCUAGCCGUCGAAGGUGGGACAAAUGAUUGGGGUGAAGUCGUAACAAGGUAGCCGUAUCGGAAGGUGCGGCUGGAUCACCUCCUUU
rnacentral:rRNA from 1 species